GCGCGGGCGGGAGGGGCGGCGGGUGGCUGCCGGCUGGUUCUGCACACGCAGCCCCGGGCACUGCCGCGGAGGGCCGAUGCCACCGGAGCACGGGGUCGGGCCACCGCGUUCCCGCUGCAUACCCAGCCGGGCGCCGCGCUGCGGUCCAGCCUGCGGGGAGAGGGCGGCGGCCGCGCCGUGGAACCCCUGCUUGCUCUGGUAACUUACAAGAUGAUAAUUAAUGUGGUUGCCGAUGAUUCUGAAUAAAUACAGCUUUUAUCUCAGGUGUGCCAUUUUGAAGACUGAGACCAUAGAGUUUUAAGAAUAAAGGAGAGAGCCCUUGGGAAAUUCUGUAUUAUAUAUAGCAAAAAUGUGAAUCCUCAGAUGGAAUGAAAGGCCUGUACCAUAGACAUCUAAGCAUUUACACCCCGCUUGAAGAGUUUGAAAUGGACUUUACCACUGAGAAAUCAAGAUGGCAGCCCAUUAUGGGGAAUUGAGGAAAAUGGAUUAAUGCAAGAAUGCUGUAAUAUUAUACAACCAACA
rnacentral:lncRNA from 1 species